GGGCUUGUACCGGUUUCGACGGGGAUCAUGCAGUCGGUGAAGCUAUCCGCAGGAUGAUGCGUUAAAUCUCAAACUUAAAUACAAACGCAGAAGAUAAUUUUGCAUUAGCAGCCUAAGUGCUGCUUGUCUCCCCUGAUGCACCUGCUCAUCAGGAUCCGAGGCAUCGAUCUGGCAGGAAACGACAUAUACUAAGCUUUGCGUAUAUGGGCGUAUGAUGAAGCUCAGCCUUCUGAUUUGGGUGUCUGUCACCGCUUCAGACGGCGAAUCCUAAACGACAGACUAUGAUAGUAGAAGAACGAGGAAUUGGUUUUCGGACAGGGGUUCGACUCCCCUCAGGUCCAUC
rnacentral:tmRNA from 1 species